GGGAGUUUGCCAGAGCCUGUGCUAUGCUUUGUGGACUUCUACCUGUGAGCUAAAUAAGCUUCUUUUCUUUAUGAAGUUAGAUAUUUCACUGCACUGAUGAAAAGCUGACUAAUGUCCUCCUUAACAAAUAACUGGAGGUACAAGGCUGCAUGGCAGAUCUCUAGUAUUUACUCAAAAUAUCUAACUAACUUUUUGAUCUCGAACAACUCCCUAUUAUCCCCCACCUCCAUCCUCUGGAAGAGGAGGAAACACCAGGGAGAAUCUUGUAUGUGAAGAGACAGCAUGUGAAAAGAAAAAGACAUGUGAAGAGACAGCAAGAAGGUAACUGCCUAUGAAACAGAGGAAAUCCUUGAGAAAUUGACCCUGCUGACACCUUGAUCUUGGGCUUUCAGCCUGUGGAACUGUGAUAAAAUGAAUCUUGUGAAGUCACCCAGUCUGUGGUAUUUUGCCAAGGAAGCCCUUGCCAGGUCCAUCCUCCAUCAACUUGACACCCAUAAGCAUCUCCUUAGACCAUCUUGAAGCUUCAAAUGAAGACAGUGGCAAGGUGCUAAUUCUGCCUAACAUGAUACAACGGAUCUGCGUACAACUGAGAAUGUACCAAUUCCUGCUCCAGAAGAGGAGCUAAGGUCUUUGAUAUUUACUCUUCUAUUUGAUAGGCAAUAAUUUAAAGACUAUGAUGUAAGAUUAACAAUACUUAAAUGCUG